GGCUAGAGCAAUUACAUUUUUUCAUUGCUAUUUGAUUUAGCUGUUUUCUGUUUCUUAAUAGAUGCUCAGUCUUCUGACUAUGCCCAUUGCACCACUGAGGUGAAAGUUGCAUCACAUCAGGAAUCCUGGAGAAGAAAAAGGGAAACAUGAGAAAUGACCUGUGUUCCUUGGAGAGACUGUCAUCUACCAGUUCUGAGACCUUUUUCAUUGAAUGCAGGUAAACAAUGGUCCCUGUGUGAAGAAUGACCUAGAAGAGAGUCAAAGUAGGCGCUUAGAUGAUGAAGUCACCACGUGGAUGUCGUGAAGCAUUUCUGAGGAAGAAUUCCCUCAAUUCAUC
rnacentral:lncRNA from 1 species